AAAAGUCUUAAUCAUUGGGCAUUUUGCCUACGUAAUAUUUUCUAGACCACAAAGUAAUUUUCAAGACUUUUAAUGACGGGUAAAUCUAAUGGAUUAUUAGAAAUAGGUCAAUCGUAACCUGCAGAUCUUAAAAAUGAUAAAAGACCUUGGGAACUGUUGGAGUACAGUUAUGAUUGUAUGUAACGCGUAGCUGUGACCUUAUGAAUGUAUGAUCUCCUCUGACUUUCUGAAGUAAUAGAGAACACCUUUCAUUUUUCGAAAAAUCUCGUAUAUCCGUAUUUGUCGCUACUCAUAUUAUGUUUUCGUCGAAAUUAUUCAUUGAUUCAUCGAUGAAACGAAUAUCGAAAAUCUUUCAAUUUUAUUAUUAUUUUAUUAUUAUUAUUUCGUUAUUUAUUUACUUUGUCAAGAUAGGUUUCAUCGUUGCAAAAAAUUUUAUCUUCUUCAAAAUGUCCAUCCAUUAACAUAUUUAAUAUAUUCAAAAAUACAAGAUUCAUCUAUCCGUUUCAACAUUCGUUUAACGAAAUAUAGUUUCACAGUUAAGUAAAAAAUUUAAUUUUCACGAUAACGAACAGAUUCGAAACGAUCCAUACAGUUCAAUCUGAUUAAUUCUUUUCAGCAAUGUCGAACAAUGUGUGCAUAUUGACCGUGGAAAACCUCGAUUUAUUCAUGCUAUCAGAGCAGUGUCGUUGCUCGAUUGAAUUACACGAUGCCGUUCAUUAGGAAGAGGAUGGUUUAACUUAGUUUUCCAUCGUGAAUACGUCAGUUCCAGCGUUAGAUUCUAUCCUCGGAGAAUAAAUCUAUACAAGAGAGAAGUACCGAGAGCAGUUUCGCUUUAAUACGUUCUAGAUUGCUCGCAAAUGGAGUGUUAUACAAGUGAUAAAUUAUUUCUAUCGAUAGAAAUCUCGCCUUCUCAUCGCUGUAACGUCGUCGUUAAUCGUUAUGCAACAAGUUCGGCAACGCGUGCAUACGUAGCCGAUCAUCAACGGCAAACUUCAUCAUCGAAUCAUAUCACUUUGGAAUAUUACAUGCAUACAUCGUUCGAAUCGAGAUUUCGCCAAAUGAUCGAUCGAUCGAUAUCAGUGAUUGUUAAUUAAAGCAUUAUGUUAAUCGUGAAACGAUAGACGCUUAUGAAUACGCGAUCGUUCGUACUCCUUGAAGUAAGAAAGAAAAAAAGGA